rnacentral:rRNA from 1 species
CAGUCGCCGCGGUAACACGUAUGUCACAAGCGUUAUCCGGAUUUAUUGGGCGUAAAGCGCGUCUAGGUGGUUAUGUAAGUCUGAUGUGAAAAUGCAGGGCUCAACUCUGUAUUGCGUUGGAAACUGUGUAACUAGAGUACUGGAGAGGUAAGCGGAACUACAAGUGUAGAGGUGAAAUUCGUAGAUAUUUGUAGGAAUGCCGAUGGGGAAGCCAGCUUACUGGACAGAUACUGACGCUAAAGCGCGAAAGCGUGGGUAGCAAACAGGAUUAGAUACCCCUGUAGUCCCUGUCUCUUAUACA